ACUAACUUUACUAUGAGCACCUAUCCGCCAGGAAAGGAAUAAUAAUUCCAGACAUUACAAAUGGAAUGUAAAAAUGUGGUAAAUUUGCCUGACGUUCAGAAAUGUGCUUUUCUGAGUUACAGUCUCAGCCAGUUGCCUUGAAGACCGAGGAGAUCCAAUUGAUCAAAGAGCAAGGAGCAGGUGUCUUCCACAGGGAAGCCAGGCAAAAGGGAUAAUAAUGUCAACCACAACCAGCACCCAAAUUGCAAAACCGAGACCAACAAGGGCUGCUGUAUCUGAAAGGAUGACUCUGACUAAAAAAAGCUUUAUCUUUUCAGGAUAAAUACAAAUUGCUUAUUUUUUACUUUGAAUCUCCCAUUUAAAUUGUCAUUCUCAAAUAGUAAUGAUUUUAAAUUUUUCAAAAAUAAUUUUAGAUCACUCAUAAUUAAAAUGGGAUUUACAGAUGGAUAUCCAUCUACUUUGUCAUACAUUAUAUCAUGGAAUAACUUUUGUUUAAUAUCUGCAUCAUAUUCAUUGCCAUGAGUAUUAUCUUGACAUCUUUUUUUCCCAACAACUAGAUGAGGAGAGCAAGGAAAAGUGAUUAAGAAUUUGCCAUAAUCAGCAGAAAACAGCUGGUAUAACGGGCCAAUGCCAAUUUCCCAACAUGGCAGUAAUCUGCAUUGUCAGUCCCUCUGUUCUCUGUCAGCAUUAUCAUUUCUCUCCUGCAAGGCCUAUGUUUUAACGAAAAGUAUGCCCCCUCAAAAAAAGAUUGAACAUCUCCCAAAUUGAAUAUCAGUUAAAAGCAAGCCUAUUUUUAAUAUUAAUAUUCAUUUUGUACUGUGAAAUUGUCAUAACAUGUUAUGUCCUCUCAUAAAUGUUGAAACAGGUCCAUGAUUCAGUACCAUUAAAUCACUUGUAAAUUACCACUGAUGAGACUAAAAUUGCUACUUCUAAAAACGCACUGCUGUGAGGGCUUCCUGUAGCUUGGUGAAUUACCACCUCAAAACUGCCUUACACGUUGUCCUGUCUGCUCAGACAUGAUGAAUGCUUGAUGGCCACUGUCCUGGAGCUCCAAAUGGCAAGCCCAGGCUUCCAGCCCGGCAUGGAUAUAAUUAUCUCUACUUUUGAUUUUGCCUGUAGAAGGUAGAGUAGAAUGUCCAAAAAGUGUAAUUAUAUAAUGUGACUCUCAUUACUCAAAAAUAAAAUAAAAAACCACCUAUUUGGCAUUGUUACUUAGAGGCAAGUAGUAUAGAAGCACUGUUGGUCAGUGGUUAUGUUGAGUUUUGUUGCCCAUUUUAAGGUGUUGUGUUUAUCUCAUGUGAUUUUUCAAAAUUUCCUACAGUAGGCAGAGCAAAUUAAGCAAAUAAAGGAGAGAAUUACGCCUCAGCAACUGUCCAAAGAGUACGAUGUUCUGCUUCUUGAAAAGCAGAUAUAUUUUUAAAGCAAAGUAGCUACAGGAGGUCAGUCUUAAUACUGGAAUGGUUAGAGAAAAAAAAUGAGGGAAUGGCAAGGUUGCUCCUUUAGUUUUAGAUUUUUUGUUGUUUAUAUUUGUUUACUUUUGAAGUGAAUAAUUUACUUAAGGUAUUUAAUAGGAAAAAAAUUAUGUCUUCUUAAAACCAGCACAAUCUUUCCUGGUAAUUCUGAGGAAGUAUUUCUGGAUUCCAUUGGUGGGAGUAAAAUGGUGGCAAUAAGGUCAUCGUUUUUUUCAUUAGCGUAUCAUCCCUCAGUAUCAGUUCCGAGUUAUUUUGAUAUCAAGGACCAUAAAGCUGGUUACAGGAAGUUUGGGUUUCCCAGUAGGCAACAUUUCACACUAUAUUCUAUCGUUUAUUCAUUUAUAACCAUCACGUAUUAAGCCCUUUUAUGUGACAGAAUAAAGUAAAAACAGAACAUGACUUUGAGCUAGGGAUAACAGCAUCUGAAAAAUUCAGCCAAGUUUUGAUUUCUGAUAUAGAAUGAGCACUUUGAUGAUUUGCAUGGAUUAUGAGUUUAUUUAUACAACAGUGAACCUCUGACUUUUAUUUUAAUGUUCUACGCUCCUCAAUCGAACAUAUUAACAUACCAAACCAAAAGGUUGACAUUCAAAUUUUAUUCUUCUGUUUUAUCGUGAAGGCUUAGUUGUUAUUUCCACAUGUUCUAUUUUGUAAAUGCAGAUGAAAUAAAUAUGGUGCAGGAAAGCUUUGUUUGUAAGCAGAUUUGCUACUUGUCCAGGGAAGUUUUUUAAAAAGGCAGAAGAAAACUAAUCUUUAUUAUGACUUCUUAGAAUAUUCAAAAAUAGCAUUGUCUUAGCUAAAAGUUGGUCUUCAGAUUCAUAAGUUUCUAUGUGAAUAUUAACAUUUUAAAUGAGUUGUGCUUCCAGACAUAAAUCAAUCAAUGAGCUUAUCUUUUUCCUAAAAUUUCAAUGAUGGAUCUGUAAGCUUUGAUUUUUCAGAAACCAGUGAUAUCUUAGAGAUUUUGGAAUACAAAAUAUUUUUAAGAGAAGGUACUUGGAAAACACUUGUAUGACAAAUUCCUAUUUUCUAAGCUAAGAAGACAUUCCUUGCUCUAUAAUCUCUUCUAAAAGUCAUGUGAGUGUUGAAACAAUGAAAUUUCUGGAAGAACUACAAUACUGCAAGAUUCCACAAUGCAAUUAAGAAUAACCACGUGAUCGUGGACUGCCGAGAAUAUUGAAUGUCAAAGAAUUGCUGGAGGGUUUUUUUUUUUUUGCAAAGGAAAAUGAUGUUUUGAUGAUCAAGACCAGAUUUCCCAAUGUAGGUUUACAACAAAAAGAGAGAAGCAAGCCCACGUGAGGAGUUAAUUUUUAGACAUACUGGUGAUGUGUUCUAAAAGAAGAACUCAGAUGUUAAGCUUUGCUGCAGAUUCUUAUCCAUCACUGUGAGCUGAUCCUUCCAGCACAGUGGGAAACCUCGUUUUUUCAGAGACAAUGAGUUCAGUGGGAUAAAAGAAAGCAUGAGGUUUGGAGUUAGAAAGCCACGUUUUUUUUUUUUUUUUAAAGCUCUACCUAUUAGACUAAACUUCAAGAAACUAUAACCUCAUCAUCUUUUCAGUGAGGUAUCACUAAGCCUACCUAUCUCUCCAGGGUUGAUGCAGGGCCGUAAAUGGAAGUUUAUUAAGUGAAAACAACUUAUAAAUUCUGUAACAUUACACACAUUAUCCUAUUAUUUAACAAUUACCAUAUAGCCAUUAUAAAAUUAGAAUAAAGUCUGGAGUUAACAGUAAUAUACCAAAAAUAAUUGCUCAGUUUUGACAAAUAUAUCAUGUGACGCUGGGUGAAGGGCA
rnacentral:lncRNA from 10 species